rnacentral:tRNA from 1 species
AAAAUCCGUCGACUUUAGAAAUCGUGAGGGUUCAAGUCCCUNUAUCCCCN